UAGGGAAUCUUCCACAAUGGACGAAAGUACUGAUGGAGCAACGCGCGUGAGUGAAGAAGGGUUUCGGCUCGUAAAACUCUGUUGUUAAAGAAGAACAUAUCUGAGAGUAACUGUUCAGGUAUUGACGGUAUUUAACCAGAAAGCCACGGCUAACUACGUGCCG
rnacentral:rRNA from 1 species